CGCGUAAUAGGCUACGCCAGCCGAAAAUUAAAUGAGGCGGAGAAAAGUUAUUCAGCUACCGAAAAGGAGUCCCUGCUCGGACACCAAUUGUAACGAAGCUUUUUUCUCCCCUGCUUCUUACAAGUAUAAAUUGCUGAGGUAUACCCGCCGUGUCCAGGGUUCGUAACAAUAAAUUUGUAAAUAUUGGGGCUCUUCUGCGAAUCGUACUUUAUUUCAUUCAACUUAUAUUAAUAUAUAAUAUAUAUUAAUCUAUGUUACAAAAUUGUCUCCUGCGUUGUACUGUCGUCGCCCGAGGACGAUGCUGUCAAGGUAACGGUUCUGUGUGGCCCGUUAGGGCAAUACCGUUUCCCGCUCUGUUGCGCGCCUGGGUGCUAGACGACUUGCUGCUCUGUACCACGACGAUCACACUCGGCUACUUCUGCCGGCGCUCGCGUUGGCUUCGCUGACACUAUCCUUUGGCGUCAAUACGCUGUCCUGGUAUACACGUUGACGCUCGCGUCGUUGGAGGAUGGAGUCAUGUGUAGAAGUUCACGCAAGUGAGGAAAGUUCUCUGAUCGCCAUUCACUUGGCAGUGGCCAGAAACGAUUAUUUUACACAUGGCUCAAGCAACUCACUACUUCCGGUCUUUGACCAAGUAUCCUCUGGGUAGCCUAAGAACAUCCGUUCGAAGGCGAGCUAAUGUGAGAAGGCGAAACAUCCCCUACAUAGGGUUGUGCGCUGGGUUUGGGACCCGCCACGUAAAAAAACACCCCCAAUGAAAGGAAGCAACAAGCCUCGGAUGAGAGACCCCCCUUUUGAUGACGACCAUGGCAAAAGAAAUAAGGACUACGAUUUGAGGGCAUGCACCUGGAAUGUCGGGACCCUUAAUUGGGAAGGUGCCGCUGUCCAGCUGGUUGAUGUCCUCGCGAAAAUAAAGGCAGACAUCUUCGCCGUCCAAGAAAUGCGAUGGACGGGACAAGGACAGAGACGAGUAGGUCCUUGUGACAUUUACUACAGUGGCCAUAUAAAGGAGCGCAAGUUUGGUGUUGGAUUCGUGGUGGGAGAGAGACUCCGUCGCCGAGUACUAUCAUUCACUCCGGUGAAUGAACGUCUAGCCCCAAUCCGCAUCAAAGCGAGGUGCUACUUCGGACUGAGUAGGCAAUUGAAAAGUAAAGUUCCCGUCCUGCUGUAUAGUGCAGAGGCUUGGGCGAUGACAACAACCGAUGAGUCGACGUUACGAGUUUUCGAGAGAAAAAUUCUGCGAAAGAUUUAUGGUCCUUUGCGCAUUGGCCACGGCGAAUAUCGCAUUCGAUGGAACGAUGAGCUGUACGAGAUAUACGCCGACAUUGACAUAGUUCAGCGAAUUAAAAGACAGCGGCUACGCUGGCUAGGUCAUGUUGUCCGGAUGGAUGAAAACACUCCAGCUCUGAAAGUAUUCGACGCAGUACCCGCCGGGGGAAGCAGAGGAAGAGGAAGAUCUCCACUCCGUUGGAAGGACCAAGUGGAGAAGGACCUGAAUUCGCUUGGAAUAUCCAAUUGGCGCCACGUAGCGAAAAGAAGAAACGACUGGCGCGCUGUUGUUAACUCGGCUAUAAUCGCGUAAGCGGUCUCUACGCCAAUUAAGAAGAAGAAGAAUUGAAACGGGUAAUUGGUUUCUCCGCAUAAUUGGUUAAAAAUAUGUGUUAUUGAAAAAAUAUACCUUUAAUUUCCCCCAAACAACGGAACAAUGGAUGAAGUUUUUGGUUAGUGCUGAUGUUGAGAAGAAAGCGAAAGAAGAUGGUCCUCCGAAGCCUCCGUCAGUUCUCGAAGUUUUAAAAUGCAUACAAGAACAUAUUUUUAUACAGAAACCAAGUUUUUAUGUGAACUAGGAACAUGGAAUCGCACAUUAUUUCACGUAGAUUGAACAAUUUAAAAAAGAUUACAGAAUUCUCCAAAUAACAUUCCAAAACUGUAAGCACCGAUCUCUAGGUAAAUAUGGGAAUGCAAGUGCUGCAUAUGUACAUAAAUACUUACUUGUAAAAGUUCACCCCACACAAUUUGGUACUUAAGAUUCACGCCACACUGUAGGCAUUUUUUAUUAUUAUUAAAAACAAUAAAAACCUUGGAGAUUAAAAGUAGA